GUCGGUGUCUCCCCAUUGGGUUAUGGGGCCCCAUAAGGUCCCUAUAGAUCCCUAUGGGUCCCUAUUGGAAUCCUAUAAAUCCCUGUAUGUCUCUAUAGGGCCCCUGUAGGUCCCUAUGGGUCUUUAUGGGGUCUCUGUUGGUCCCUAUGGGUUCUUAUGGGGUUCCUAUAUGGGGUUAUGGGUUGGCGUCACCCCACUGGCUUAUGGGGCUCCAUAAGGUCCCUAUAGAUCCCUAUGGGGUCCUGUGGAGUCUCUGUAGGUCUCUAUGGGUCUUUAUGGGAUCUCUGUAGAUCCCUAUGGGUUCUUAUGGGGUUCCUGUAUGGGGUUAUGGGUCGGCGUCACCCCACUGGUUUACGGGGCCCCAUAAGGUCCCCAUAGAUCCCUAUAGGUCCCUAUUGGAGUCCUAUAGAUCCCUGUAUGUCUCUAUGGGGUCUCUGAAGGUCUCUAUGUGUCUUUAUGGGGUCUCUGUAGGUUCCUAUGGGGUUUUUCUAUGGGGUUAUGGGUCAGUGUCACCCCAGUGGGUUAUGGGGCCCCAUAAGGUCCCUAUAGAUGCCAAUAUGGCUCCCUAUAGGGGGCCUAUAGAUCCCAAAGCCUCAGUGCUCUCCCCUGGGGUUAAGGCUCCGCCCCAUAAGCACCACCACCCCGUCAAGCCUUUUGACCCCACAAAACCCUUCCGCCCCUACAGACGAUUUCCGGAUCUUUUGCGGGGAUCUGGGCAACGAGGUGAACGACGACAUCCUGGCUCGCGCCUUCGGCAGGUACCCCUCCUUCCUCAAGGCCAAGGUGAUCCGCGACAAGCGCACCGGCAAGACCAAGGGCUACGGCUUCGUGUCCUUCAAGGACCCCAACGACUACGUCAGGGCCAUGAGGGAGAUGAACGGGAAGUACGUGGGCAGCCGGCCCAUCAAGCUGCGGAAGAGCAUGUGGAAGGAGCGCAACCUGGACGUGGUGCGCAAGAAGCAGCGCGAGAAGAAGAAGCUGGGCCUGCGCUAGGAGCCAUCUUGGUUCCGCUUCAUCAUGGCCGCCGCCGUCUUGGAUUCGGGUUUAUGGGGGCCGCCAUCUUGGAUUCGGGUUCAUCGUGGCCGCCAUCUUGGAUUCGGGUUUUUGUGGAUUGGGGUUCAUCGUGGCCGCCAUCUUGGAUUGGGGUUUAUCAUGGCCGCCAUCUUGGAUUUUGUAGGGCCUACCAAAAUGGCGGCGAUGCUGCGAUUAAAGGGCCAAAGGGGGUUUUGUUUACGUUGGGGUUUGGUGUGGGGUCUGCUUCAAUUAAUUAAUGGCGUCGUCACGGGGUUCGUCUCGUUAGCGAGGUGAUUAAUAGGGGUCCGAGCUCGGUGGGGUUUCUGUAGGUCCUACUUAAUUAUGGCGUCUUAAUUGGGCUCAUCUCGUUAGUGAGGUGAUUAAUGGGGGUCCGAGUUUCUUUAUGUGGAGUUUUUGUAGGUCCUACUUUAAUUAAUGGCCUCAUAAUUGGAGUAAUGCCAUUGACGGAGUCAUUAAUGGGGCUCUGGGUUUGUCCAUAUGGGGUUUCCGUAGGUCCUACUUUAAUUACAGCCUCAUAAUUGGGCCCAUCUCAUUGGUGAGGUAAUUAGUGGGGACCUGGGUUUGGUUGCUUGGAGUUUCCGUAGGUCCUACUUUAAUUAUGGCCUCAUAAUUGGGCCCAUCUCAUUAGCGAGGUAAUUAGUGGGGACCUGGGUUUGCUUACAUGGGGUUUCCGUAGGUCCUACUUUAAUUACAGCAUCUUAAUUGGACUAAUGCCAUUGAUACAGUAAUUAAUGGGCUUACAUCCAGAGGCCCCGCCCCCACAACGUUCCCAUUGGUUGUGACCGUGAAGCUCCGCCCCCACAACGCUCCCAUUGGUUGUCACCGUGAAGCCCCGCCCCGACAACACUCCCACUGGUUGUCCCCGUGAAGCCCCGCCCCCACAAAGCUCCCAUUGGUUGUCCCCGUGAAGCCCUGCCUCCACAACACUCCCAUUGGUUGUCCCCGUGAAGCCCCUCCCCCACAGCAUUUCCAUUGGCUGUCCUCGUGAAGCCCCGCCCCAACCACACUCCCAUUGCUUGCAAUCAUUUAUUGACGCUCCGCUCAGCCAAUCACAGCGCACAGCGCCCCGCCCGCACUCUUCCCUCAGGGGCGGGGCUUGCUCUGCAGUCCGGAAGGGGCGUGGCUACGGGUAGCACGUGCCCAGCGUUCCAGCCAAUGAGAGAAGGGGACGCUCCCGGGGGGCGUGGCCAGGACCCACUGUGCCGGCUGCUCCCACCUGGAAGGGGAGGAGCCAGA
rnacentral:lncRNA from 1 species